rnacentral:rRNA from 1 species
GUACACGCUGUGACUAGCAUAUCAAUAAGCGGAGGAAAAGAAACUAACAAGGAUUCCCCUAGUAACGGCGAGUGAAGCGGGAAGAGCUCAAAUUUGAAAUCUUAAAGGGUUUCCCUUUACGAAUUGUAGUUUAAAGAAGUGUUUUCUGUUGAGGUUUUGGUAAAAGUUCUUUGGAAUAGGACAUCAUAGAGGGUGAGAAUCCCGUAUUUGACCCUUACUUUCAACUUUGUGAUACACUUUCAAAGAGUCGGAUUGUUUGGGAAUGCAGUCCAAAAUGGGUGGUAAAUUUCAUCUAAAGCUAAAUAUUGGCGAGAGACCGAUAGCGAACAAGUACCGUGAGGGAAAGAUGAAAAGAACUUUGAAAAGAGAGUUAAACAGUACGUGAAAUUGUCAAAAGGGAAGCGUUUGACACCAGUGUUGUUUUUCUGAAAAUCAAUUAAAGAACUGUUUAUGCUAAGCUGUUUAGACUUUAUCAGCUAUCUGUUUAGUUUUGAGCUUUUCUUUAAUGCACUUUUCAGUUAACAAGUCAACAUCAAUUUCUUUUGCUGUAAAAAAGCUUGAGGAAGGUGGCUUGAGAUUCGUCUUAAGUGUUUAUAGCCUCUUGCCUAUGCAGUCGGAGAGAUUGAGGUCUGCAGCGUAGAUCCUUCGGGGCUAAAUGCAUUUGUGCUAAGUUAUAGCAUUUUAUAGACAACUUGUUGACUAUGAUUUGUCUUGUAGCUUACUCGCUUAUGUUAUUUUACCUACGCUUAGGAUGUUGAAGAUGUAGCACAUCAU